rnacentral:rRNA from 1 species
GUGGGUAGCAAACAGGAUUAGAUACCCUGGUAGUCCACGCCCUAAACGAUGGAUACUAGACGUGAGAGGUAUCGACCCCUCUCGUGUCGCAGCUAACGCAUUAAGUAUCCCGCCUGGGGACUACGGCCGCAAGGUUGAAACUCAAAUGAAUUGACGGGGACCCGCACAAGCGGUGGAGCAUGUGGUUUAAUUCGAUACUAACCGAAGAACCUUACCCAGGUUUGACAUCGAUCGCAAGGCCCUGAAAGGGGUCCCUCUCCCACAAGGAGACGUGAAGACAGAUGUUGCAUGGCUGUCGUCAGCUCGUGCCGUGAGGUGUACGGUUAAGUCCGCCAACGAGCGCAACCCACGUUUUGUGUUACCAGCGAGUAGUGUCGGGCACUCACAAGAGACCGCCGGUGUAAGCCGGAGGAAGGUGUGGAUGACGUCAAGUCAGCAUGGCUCUUACGCCUGGGGCUACACACAUGCUACAAUGGGCGCAACAAAGGGCAGCAAUACCGCGAGGUGGAGCGAAUCCCAAAAAUACGCCCCCAGUUCAGAUUGUACUCUGCAACUCGAGUACAUAAAGGCGGAAUCGCUAGUAAACGCAGGUCAGCUAUACUGCGUUGAAUACGUUCCCGGGUCUUGUACACACCGCCCGUCAAGUCACCUGAAUUGUCUUCACCCGAAGUCCGUGGCCUAACCGAAAGGAGGGAGCGGCCGAAGGUGAGGGGAGUAAGGGGGACU